UGUAUUUAUAAUACUUACUUUGUUCAGUGAACAGGCCCACUUAGUGAGCACUACGUCACUGUGGGCUCCCCAAAUUUACAAUACGCACCUGACAAGCGCUCGUUCCCGCUAAUUUUCACACGCUUGCGCCAAUCGACCGCUCGAUCACGCCACAUGUAUUGAAUUUUACUAUUGGCUAUCGAUGUCGACAUCAAUAGAACGAAUUAUUGAUUGGCUAUCGCUCUCGCUGGACAUGCGCAUUAGCCUUCUUCUCCAAGUCAACGAGGAAGAAGACGAAUUAUUAUUAUCUUU